UCCGAGUUGACCCCGGCAGUCUCCUAUGAGUCCCCACCAUAACGUGCUGGCAACAUAGGACAAGGGUUGCGCUCGUUGCGGGACUUAACCCAACAUCUCACGACACGAGCUGACGACAGCCAUGCACCACCUGUGAAGGUCCGGCCGAACCGACCCCGUGUUUCCACGGGUGCGACCUACAUGUCAAGCCCAGGUAAGGUUCUUCGCGUUGCGUCGAAUUAAACCACAUGCUCCGCUGCUUGUGCGGGCCCCCGUCAAUUCCUUUGAGUUUCAGCCUUGCGGCCGUACUCCCCAGGCGGGGCACUUAACGCGUUAGCUGCGACACCGAGAGGGUCGAUCCCCCCGGCGUCUAGUGCCCAUCGUUUACGGCGUGGACUAC
rnacentral:misc_RNA from 1 species